AUAAAGACCCGACGGAGGGUUUUGGGGGGAGAUUUCGGGUUGGUGAAGUCACAGAGACGUGGGGAGAAUGGCCCGCUCCGCGAGGGCUUCGCAGCUCCUCUCCCCCCACCUGGCCCUCUGCGUCUCUAACAUCUGGCUGUUGCGGCGUCCUCUCCUUUUAUAAUGAACCAGGAAUCUAGUCUGGACGGGGACAUCGACAACCUUUCUCCUUCGAUCUGUGAUGUCCUCUAGGACUUUUCCCUCAUCAUCUGUAGGCAGCAGUCGCUCCGGUUAAACUUUCCACAGACUCCUCCCUCAGAAGCAAGCAGGAAUUGAACUUUUGAGAAGCCGAGCCCUGAUAGUAGGACUUGGGGCAUUUUGUUUUACUCUGAGGGCUGUGGGAAUCGCAUUUUCUGGUCUCCUACAGCCAUUGUUUCCCCGUGUUGGUACCAACGAAGUAUCCUGUCCACAAAAGGAAGGGGAGCGUUCACAGAAAUUUCUCACCACAUUUCCAGCCGGCCAGGGGGUACUCAGCCCGUCCUAUGGCAAAGAGUAGAGCAAGAAUCACCAUACCAGUGAGGAACAAGGGGUGAUAGUGCAUAACAGUAAGGAAACCUACAGAAAAUAAGGACAGUCGAUUCGUUCUACCGGACCGCCGAUUUCUCGAGCUUCUGCCGUGCGUGGAUCAGCCGGCUUCCAGAGUGACCAGGGCAGGGCUGCCGUCUCCCGGAGCCUCUGGAGCGGCCGACUGCUGCUUCCGUGGGGUCAGCGCGCACGGCGUGGACGGAUCAGGAACGCACUCCCAGUUUCGAGAUGCCGGCUCCACUCGGCUGUGGUCAAUCCAGGGACCCGCUUCGGCUACCUUUCCUGCGGGAGGGGCGGACGAAACGACAGUGAGCGGGUCCCUCCAGAGAGGGGUGAGGGGUUGCAGACGCCACUCCUUCACCCACACGGCAUCUCCUGGUUUAAAGGGGUGAGCGCCUGUGGUCGGCCUCACGGGUAAGCCCUCCCUGACCCAGUGGCGUAAGGUGCUUAGGGUAGAGCCGAGGGCCCGCAUCUGUUGCCUUAGGGUUAGAUUGCCUAUGUCGUUUAGAUCCCCCCCCCUUAGGCCCUUGAUAGUGGGGGGAGGGUGCCCAUAAAGGAUUUCCUAAGGGGAGAACCCUGUCUGCUCCUUCGGCCUCCCACGUGCAGCUGCAGUCGGCCUCCCCUCCCCGAAGGUCCCUGAGCUCUCCCUGCCCCAUGUUAACCCUUUCCCUUCAUUCCUCCCCCUGGAAUAGGGCCCCAAACUGUCGUAAGGGAACAGGGACGACCGUUCUGGCUUCUUCAAGCUGACAAGGGACGGUGUGGGGGCACAGCAGUUAGAGUGUACCCCCGGGGUCGCUCACGCGGCCCGCGGUGUGGUUCAACCGGAAAGCUGGCCCACACAUUACUAGACAUAAAAAGAAAAACACCAAAUAAAGAUGAUACUGACCAACAAGAUGGCGUCUUAAGAUAACGUCUACAUUUCCCAAACCCGUCACAUAAUCUAGGAGAGAGCUUGACUUCGUAAACAAUAUAUGUCAGGGAAUCUCUCAUAACCCAGGUGAUGGAGAAGCAGGAGCCUUAAGUCAUCGAUGGUGGCUCUAUUUCCAAGAGUUUGGCCCUAACUUAAUUCAAAAGAAAAAAAAUUUUGGGGGGCGCCUGGGUGGCGCAGUCGGUUAAGCGUCCGACUUCAGCCAGGUCACGAUCUCGCAGUCCGGGAGUUCGAGCCCCGCGUCGGGCUCUGG